CCUACGGGAGGCAGCAGUGGGGAAUAUUGGACAAUGGGGGCAACCCUGAUCCAGCCAUGCCGCGUGUGUGAAGAAGGCCCUCGGGUUGUAAAGCACUUUCAGUGAGGAAGAACGCCUGGUGGUUAAUACCCAUCAGGAAAGACAUCACUCACAGAAGAAGCACCGGCUAACUCCGUGCCAGCAGCCGCGGUAAUACGGAGGGUGCGAGCGUUAAUCGGAAUUACUGGGCGUAAAGCGCGCGUAGGUGGCUUGAUAAGCCGGUUGUGAAAGCCCCGGGCUCAACCUGGGAACGGCAUCCGGAACUGUCAAGCUAGAGUGCAGGAGAGGAAGGUAGAAUUCCCGGUGUAGCGGUGAAAUGCGUAGAGAUCGGGAGGAAUACCAGUGGCGAAGGCGGCCUUCUGGACUGACCCUGACACUGAGGUGCGAAAGCGUGGGUAGCAAACAGGAUUAGAUACCCGGGUAGUC
rnacentral:rRNA from 1 species